AGUCGAGCGAACAGACGAGGAGCUUGCUCCUCUGACGUUAGCGGCGGACGACGUGAGUAACACGUGGAUAACCUACCUAUAAGACUGGGAUAACUUCGGGAAACCGAAGCUAAUACCGGAUAAUAUAUUGAACCGCAUGGUUCAAUAGUGAAAGACGGUUUUGCUGUCACUUAUAGAUGGAUCCGCGCCGCAUUAGCUAGUUGGUAAGGUAACGGCUUACCAAGGCAACGAUGCGUAGCCGACCUGAGAGGGUGAUCGGCCACACUGGAACUGAGACACGGUCCAGACUCCUACGGGAGGCAGCAGUAGGGAAUCUUCCGCAAUGGGCGAAAGCCUGACGGAGCAACGCCGCGUGAGUGAUGAAGGUCUUCGGAUCGUAAAACUCUGUUAUUAGGGAAGAACAAAUGUGUAAGUAACUAUGCACGUCUUGACGGUACCUAAUCAGAAAGCCACGGCUAACUACGUGCCAGCAGCCGCGGUAAU
rnacentral:rRNA from 1 species